rnacentral:tRNA from 1 species
GACCGUGUAGCUCAGUUGGCAGAGCGUUGGGCUAGUAUUCCAAAGGUCGUAGGUUCGAAUCCCACCGUGGUCA